CCAAUAGCGUAUAUUAAAGUUGUUGCAGUUAAAAAGCUCGUAGUUGAAUUUCGGGAUCAGUAGGUCGGUCAUGCCUCUGGUAUGUACUGGCCUCACUGGUUCCUCCUUCCUGAUGAACCGUAAUGCCAUUAAUUUGGUGUUGCGGGGAAACUGGACUGUUACUUUGAAAAAAUUAGAGUGUUUAAAGCAGGCUAACGCUUGAAUACAUUAGCAUGGAAUAAUGAAAUAGGACGAUCGAUCCUAUUUUGUUGGUUUCUAGGAUUGACGUAAUGAUUAAUAGGGAUAGUUGGGGGCAUUAGUAUUCAAUUGUCAGAGGUGAAAUUCUUGGAUUUAUUGAAGACUAACUACUGCGAAAGCAUUUGCCAAGGAUGUUUUCAUUAAUCAAGAACGAAAGUUAGGGGAUCGGAGACGAUCAGAUACCGUCGUAGUCUUAACCAUAAACUAUGCCGACUAGGGAUCGGAUGAUGUUAAUUUUAUAAUGACUCAUUCGGCGCCUUACG
rnacentral:rRNA from 1 species